GGUUCCAAAUUCCAGCAAUAUUAGUCCAUCUAUGAUGAUGCCUCAAAGAUUAAAGUUGUGAUUUCUCAUAAUAUGUUUCUCUCUCUUUUAACACUCUCCAAAAUGCAUACUUUAACAAUUGUAGCAAUAUUUAUUUACUGAACUACAAAUGUAUAAUGCUAAGAAUAAGUAGCAAUGCACCAUGUGCAUUCGUGAGAAUUUCACAAGAAGAUACUGCUAACCAAGUUUGCAACACAAUUUAUGUACAAAGAGUACCUCUUCCAUAAGAUUUAUUUCUAUAGAGAAGAGUGAAACCACACUUCUUGCAAAUGAAAGAAAAUUACAGUUGAAGAUACUAAAAACAGUAUAUGAGAUGAUUGCCAGGAAGGAAAGAAUCGUGCAGAGCAAGAUCCAGAUUUCCGUUUUCACAUGCUAUAGGGUCAUGGAUGGUGAUUAAUUUUGUUCCAUCUGGAAAGAUCCCCUCUACCUAAAUUACAUUACGACUGAAUAGUCACCAGCUACCUUGAACUGCAGAUGAACAUGACAAAAAGAAUCAUCAAAGACAGAGAAAAUGGGGCAUCCGUAGUACCUGAACACAAUCCAACAGUUGGAAGAUCGAACUUGUCUCCUGAAAACCAAAAAGUUAAUUGUAAUCCCACUGAUCUUCGUCAAAAGCAUCAAGUCAUUCAAAUAAUUAUAUUCUUUGAGGCAUUUCGGUCCACUCAAAUUGAUUUCACCUACGAUCGAGUAACAUCAGUACUCACGAUGCACUCUUUACAUCAUCCAUAUUUAUUAAUUGAUUCCCUUCUUCCAUUUUCUAGGUGCAUGACUUUUUCACUUCCUCGUGCCAAGGCAGUCAUAUUCUUUACAAUUAUACAUUUCCCUUUAUGAUUUCUUCCUUCUAUUCACAGAAGACAGUAAGCAGGUUUAUUACAGGAAGAAUUUCAAUAAUCCAUUCACAAUAUAGAAGGGAAAAGAAGGCAGCUGCAAAAUCAACUAUCGCAAAUUGACCAAGUCAUAUACCCAAAUUACUUACUUACAGAAAGUGAUGAUCGAUGCUCUCGUUGGUAUAGCUUUUAUAUAUCCGAGAGAAUCUGUUUCUGGUCA
rnacentral:lncRNA from 1 species